GAUGAACGCUGGCGGCGUGCCUAAUACAUGCAAGUCGAGCGAACAGACGAGGAGCUUGCUCCUCUGACGUUAGCGGCGGACGGGUGAGUAACACGUGGAUAACCUACCUAUAAGACUGGGAUAACUUCGGGAAACCGGAGCUAAUACCGGAUAAUAUAUUGAACCGCAUGGUUCAAUAGUGAAAGACGGUUUUGCUGUCACUUAUAGAUGGAUCCGCGCCGCAUUAGCUAGUUGGUAAGGUAACGGCUUACCAAGGCGACGAUGCGUAGCCGACCUGAGAGGGUGAUCGGCCACACUGGAACUGAGACACGGUCCAGACUCCUACGGGAGGCAGCAGUAGGGAAUCUUCCGCAAUGGGCGAAAGCUUGACGGAGCAACGCCGCGUGAGUGAUGAAGGUCUUCGGAUCGUAAAACUCUGUUAUUAGGGAAGAACAAAUGUGUAAGUAACUAUACACGUCUUGACGGUACCUAAUCAGAAAGCCACGGCUAACUACGUG
rnacentral:rRNA from 1 species